rnacentral:rRNA from 1 species
UACGGAGGGUGCGAGCGUUGUCCGGAAUCACUGGGCGUAAAGGGCGCGUAGGUGGCGCCGCAAGUCCAUGGUGAAAGCUCGAUGCUCAACAUCGAGUCGGCCACGGAGACUGCGGGGCUCGAGCACUGUAGGGGCAGAUGGAAUUCCGGGUGUAGCGGUGGAAUGCGUAGAGAUCGGGAAGAACAUCAGUGGCGAAGGCGGCCUGCUGGGCUGUUGCUGACGCUGAGGCGCGACAGCGUGGGGAGCAAACAGG